GACAGAGGAUGCAAGCGUUAUCCGGAAUGAUUGGGCGUAAAGCGUCUGUAGGUGGCUUUAAGUCCGCCGUCAAAUCCCAGGGCUCAACCCUGGACAGGCGGUGGAAACUACCAAGCUGGAGUACGGUAGGGGCAGAGGGAAUUUCCGGUGGAGCGGUGAAAUGCGUAGAGAUCGGAAGAACACCAACGGCGAAGGCAGCUCUGCUGGGACCGACACUGACACUGAGAGACGAAAGCUAGGGGAGCGAAUGGG
rnacentral:rRNA from 1 species